rnacentral:rRNA from 1 species
UCGAGAAUUUUUCUCAAUGGGCGAAAGCCUGAAGGAGCGACGCCGCGUGAAGGAUGAAGGUCUUCGGAUUGUAAACUUCUGUCAUUAAGGAACAAACCUUCCGUCUAACUAACGGAAGACUGAUAGUACUUGAAGAGGAAGGGACGGCUAACUCUGUGCCAGCAGCCGCGGUAAUACAGAGGUCUCAACCGUUGUUCGGAUUUAUUGGGCGUAAAGGGUGCGUAGGUGGUCGUGUAAGUCGGGUGUGAAAUCCUAGGGCUCAACCCUGGAACUGCACUCGAUACUGCAUGGCUUGAGCGCUGGAAAGGAGACUGGAAUUUACGGUGUAGCAGUGAAAUGCGUAGAUAUCGUAAGGAAGACCAGUGGCGAAAGCGAGUCUCUGGACAGAUGCUGACACUGAGGCACGAAGGCCAGGGGAGCAAACGGG